GUAAAACCCACAGGACAGAAAAAGAUCUUUGCAACCACAUAUUGUCACCCAAAGUUUUGAAGACUUUAUUGGAUAUGAAUUCUACUCUAUUAACUUCCAGUUUCCUUGGGCUCUUUUAAAGACACACAAAGGAGAAAAUAUAGAGAAGAAG